CCUACGGUAGGCUGCAGUGGGGAAUAUUGGACAAUGGGCGAAAGCCUGAUCCAGCCAUGCCGCGUGUGUGAAGAAGGCCUUCGGGUUGUAAAGCACUUUCAGUGGGGAAGAAAGCCUUGGGGCUAAUACCCUCGAGGAAGGACAUCACCCACAGAAGAAGCACCGGCUAACUCCGUGCCAGCAGCCGCGGUAAUACGGAGGGUGCGAGCGUUAAUCGGAAUUACUGGGCGUAAAGCGCGCGUAGGCGGUCUGAUAAGCCGGUUGUGAAAGCCCCGGGCUCAACCUGGGAACGGCAUCCGGAACUGUCAGGCUAGAGUGCAGGAGAGGAAGGUAGAAUUCCCGGUGUAGCGGUGAAAUGCGUAGAGAUCGGGAGGAAUACCAGUGGCGAAGGCGGCCUUCUGGACUGACACUGACGCUGAGGUGCGAAAGCGUGGGUAGCAAACAGGAUUAGAUACCCGAGUAGUC
rnacentral:rRNA from 1 species